AUUGAACGCUGGCGGCAUGCUUUACACAUGCAAGUCGGACGGCAGCACAGAGAAGCUUGCUUCUUGGGUGGCGAGUGGCGAACGGGUGAGUAAUAUAUCGGAACGUACCGAGUAAUGGGGGAUAACUAAUCGAAAGAUUAGCUAAUACCGCAUAUUCUCUGAGGAGGAAAGCAGGGGACCUUCGGGCCUUGCGUUAUUCGAGCGGCCGAUAUCUGAUUAGCUAGUUGGUGGGGUAAAGGCCUACCAAGGCGACGAUCAGUAGCGGGUCUGAGAGGAUGAUCCGCCACCCUGGGACUGAGACACGGCCCAGACUCCUACGGGAGGCAGCAGUGGGGAAUUUUGGACAAUGGGCGCAAGCCUGAUCCAGCCAUGCCGCGUGUCUGAAGAAGGCCUUCGGGUUGUAAAGGACUUUUGUCAGGGAAGAAAAGGCUGUUGCUAAUACCGACAGCUGAUGACGGUACCUGAAGAAUAAGCACCGGCUAACUACGUG
rnacentral:rRNA from 1 species